UGCAUCUGGCCGUGCCACCUUCCUGCGUGUCCCCAACUGUCACCUGGGCGUGUUUGUCACCUGGAGUGUCCCCAGAGUAUCGUCAGUGUCCCCAAGGUCUCCACAACAGCCAUGGAGCCCCGCGAGCUAUUGCUGUCCCUGCUGGAGCAGCAGAUCACUGCGGUGGCCACCCUGGGUGAGGUGGCAUCCACUGUGACCGGAUCACACCAGAGGGUGUGGCAGUGAGUGUCCCCAAAGUUCCUGCCCUCGCCCUGGUGAGCUUCACCUGGAGCCUCCCUGAGACCCUGAACCACAGCAAUGUCACCUCUCUGGGCCACCCUUGUGCACCUCCCUGGGCCAGGCCCUGGCCACCCUCAGGGCUACCUCUGGCACCACCUGGGCCGACGUGAGAGCCGCAGCCAAGGCCUGGUGAGAGCUGAUGGCAGUGGUCACGGAGAGCUGGGAAUGGCUGCUUCAGGAGGCCGUCAGGCUCGAUGACACCUGCGAGGACACGGCCACCGCUGUGGCCAUCGCUCAGGCCAGGGACCAGCAGGAUGAGCCCACCCACAGGGGGACAGCUGGGGACAGCGUGGUGGCCACAGCCCAGCAGCUGAUGGUGGCCCUGGACAGGGAGGAGGAGGCCUCAGUCGGGGUCACGUGCAAUGCUCAGGUGGUGGCGGCCACCAACGAGGCCGUGGGAGUGGCCAUGGUGGCCACCAGCCAGGCAAGGGUGACCAUCAGGAGGGGACAUUGGACAGAGGUGGCCCUGGGGCCGCUGGAGAGCUUGGUGGACACGUGUGACAGAGACACUGAGUUUAUCAGUUACAUCAAGUGCCAGCUCGAUGACAUCGAGACCAUCCUGAAGUGGGCACACGAGGUUUUCCCCGAUGACCCUGAGCACUUGGUGGCCAAAGUGGCCAAGUUUGAGCAGCUUUGGGAUGUCAGCACCUGCCUGUUCACGUGUCAGCUGCGGGGGACACUUGGGGACAUUCACGACCUCCUCUUGUGUCCCUGUGGUGGCUGCGGUGGCCCCAGUGGCCCUGCCAGCUGCGUGGUGGACGAGUGGUGCCAAAGAGCCAGGGAGGACAUCCCAAGGCUGCUGCAGGGACAGUGACAUCACCACUGCAACGUCAUCAUGGCAGUGACAUCAUUGGGGACAUCGCUGCUGUCACCUGUGCCCUCUCCCAUUCCCAUGUGGGAUUUGAGACAAAUCUGGGGAAUUUUCUGGGAAUUUUCAUUGAUAUGUCCCAAAUCCUCAUGGGACAUUUCCUCGGUGACGUCACUGGGGACACUCAGGGACAUGCGGGGAGGACACACAGGGACACUCAGGGACAGUUUGAGGACACUCGUGGGCAUGCUGGGACAGUCUGGGGACACUCAGGGACAGGGGACAGAAGUAAAUUAGUCCCCUCAGCAGCUUCCAGCUUCCCCCUGUGCCUGCAGCACAGCCGAGUCAUAAAUGACAAUUUAAUAAUUGGCUUCUGCAAUUCUGCAUUGGCUUCUGCAAUUCUGCAUUGGCUUUUGCAAAAAAAUACUUCCACAAGUAUUUUGCUCUGGUACUUGAUUAUGGAUUAUUGAGAAUUCCUUGUAGCUGCUUGCUGGUACAAUAAAAUCAACCAGUUUAUCUGUGCACCGUGUAACUGAUUUAAAGCUGGAGUAACAAACUGAUAUUAUAUUGUAUGCCUUAAAAUAUUAAAAAUAGAUAUGUCUAUUUAUAUACUUAUAUUUAUGUAACUAUAUAUUUAUUCUUAUAUCUAUUUCUUAUAAUUACGCUUAUAUAUUCACUAUAACUAUAGUAAAUAGAUAAAUAAUAAAUGUUAAAAUAGAGACUAUGCAAUAUUAAAAUGCUUUUGUGUAACUGAGUCAGGUGUAGAAUAUUCCGUUGUUUCUCAUACCUGCGGAUCAGCCUCUCCAGGUGAUAACAGUGACACAAACCUGAGAAGAAUUUAUGAAUUGAUCAGGGGGUGUGAAACAACAGGAUGGAAUAAGGAGAAGAAAUCAAAUAUAUUGACCCAAUCUACAGAAUGUCCUGCAGACAAGUCAGAAGUUAAAACCAAACAAGAGUUCCUGCAACAUCCAAACCUCCCAGGAAUAUUUGAAGAAUGUCUCAACACAGGAAUGUGUUUGUAGCCCUGCAGUGGAUCCGGAUCUGGAGAACAAUGGGUUAAGUUAAAGAAACUUGUUUGGCUGUCUGCCAAAAUCCUUUUCUAUCACUUAUUAAUCUUUUACAAUUUUCAAAGAGUGAACUUUGUCUUUCACACCAGGAUGUGGUAUGGGGGGGCCAGGGGGCCCCCGCUGCUGAGCACUGACCCUACCCUGGGUGUCGCUGGAACCCCCAAAAACCACAGCCAGCACCAAUUUGCUGGGGGUUGGGGUUUUCCUGUUCUUUCCUUGUCACUUGUGGAUUUUUUUCCCAUUGAGUUUUUAAGAGCACUGCUGGCUGAGUGCUUGAGAAGGUGCGGAGGGGGAGCUCCUCUCAUUUUUGGGAGUUCCUCUCCGGGGGGGACAGACAUCCCAGGAGAAUGGAGGGCAGGGGUUGGGGGCAGCCUCUCUCUCUCUUGCUCUUUGGCAUCGGAGGAGGACUGCCAGGAUAUCGCUUACUGCCAGGAGAAUUCACUGUCACCGCUGGAGCUCAGCCCUCAGGGGCCGAUCACCGUCUGCUCGUGUGCACUAGGAAUCCUGACCAGGAACUGAUCCGUUCAGGUGCCCCUGGAAUCCAGCACUUCAUGUGCCCCAGGUAUCCUGAAUUUCGUGUGUCCCGGUAAUCGUGAGCUUCGUGUGCUCCAGAAAUCCAGAUUUUUGUGUUGUUAAAUACGAGAACAGGCUCCUGGUACUAAAGUGAUUUCAGCAUUUAUUAUAAGCAAAUGAAACGCCUAAACGUCGGGGCCCAUGGGCCAAGCAGGAGCGCUCCUGUCGAGGAUGUUGCAGCGCCAGCACUGGGUCUUCUUCAGCAGUGAUGCCCCCGAUGUCCCAGAUGGAGCGGCGCAAAAUCACUGGUCCCAGUGCCUGUGAGGUGGCCGAGAGGUGCCGAAGAGCCAUCGAGGACAUCCCAAGACUCCUUCGACCCCCAAAACAUCCCCGGAGCGUCCCCAAGGUGUCCCCAGUGAGCAUGGAGCUCCAAAAGCUGUGGCCAGCACCACCAGCAGCACUGGAGGCACUCUUCCGACCCUGGGUUUGCUCAGGAGAGCGCCUAGGCUUUCGCCUUGAGGGACGAGGAUCCGCAGUGAAAAGGCUGCUACCCAACAGGAGAGAAGAGACGGACUCCAGCUGUAGUACAGUCCACAUUUAUUCCAGGGGAACUAACAGCCGAACACCCUGAACUGGGGUCAGACAUGAGCUUAUAAAGAGGGGAGGGUGCAGACACGGAGUUUAGUCUUCAGCCUAUGAACGUGAGGGGUGGGAGUGAAGAGAGAGAGACAGGCAUAAUGGGAAAAACAAUAGGGAAAGGUCUGGGGAGGGACCCCGGCCCCUGAACCAAUCACUUGAUGCCCUAGCUGGAAAAUUCUAGACGGAAAGGAUGGGCCACCAAGUGACGGACAGGGUACCAGGGAGGGACUAAGCAGCUGAUACAUAGGUUGUCAAUGGCAACGGGGAGGGGAAAAAACUGUAUUGACGGCGAUCAAGGAGAGGGAGAACCAGGGCAGAACCAUUACAACUAUAUGGGUACACAGAACGAACCAAUUUACAACUUAAUCAGGCUAACGUAUAAGAAACACACCACAACAGGGGACAGCACAGCCCUCCAGGGAAGGGGACAAAGGGGACCCCCGGAGGGCACAGGGGCCACCACAGGAGGCUGUAAGUGCCUUGAGAUCCCUGACACCUCCCCUGUCCCUUUUCCAGGUCUACCAUACACAGCUGAAAAAGACAGUGGAUGUGGUGGGCAACCUGGGUGAGGUGGCGGACACUGUGACCGGGUCAUACAGGGGCAAGUUCCUGCAUGAGCCCCCAGACUCCCUGCAUGAGGCCCUGAAGAACUUCAC